AUUAGAUUUCCUCCUGAGCAGUUGCACUACAAAUUUAGUGAUGAAGAGGCAAUACUUGACAGAAACCUUAAGUGGGAUGACAUAAUUAUAUAGAAAAUCAAUAAGAGGAUGAACUCUUUUAAUGUUUAUAAAACAAUAGUAUGAAAGAAUUUUGAUGCAUCUUGGAGCAAUGGCAACAUAUUUGGGAGUUGUGAGUGACAACGAGCAGAUUACAUAACAAUGGGAGGAUAACAAGGGUCUUAACUGAAAAAACUGGUGAAUGU